CUAUGUUGGCCAGACUCGUCUUGAACUCUUGACCUCAUGAUCCACCCGCCUCAGCCUCCCAAAGUGCUGGGAUUACAGGUGUGAGCCACAGAGUCCGGCCACACACAAUAUCUUUUACUUGCCAAAGAUGAUAACAUUCCAUGACUGAGCUCAGCUGACUUUCCUUUCAGUGUUUUAGGCUGAUUUCUGAAAAGCAUCUUUGAUGAUGUUCCAGCCUCAUCAAAUCUCUAAAGAUGUGGUUGAGGAAGUGUGGUUAUGACAAAGAAUAUUUUUGCAGGAUCAUGAGACUGGAUAAAUAUUACUAUAACAUGAUUUUCUUUGCUCCAAAAGAACAUUUGCAAAUUGCAGCGUUAGACACAGUUACGGUACUUCACAGCACUGCUCAUCAAUCCAGACUAGAACCACACAACUGCUCAGAAUACUGCAGAGGUUGCAUGAAAUACUGAGGCUAUUCAUAAUCAUUCUCCAUGAUAUUUCAGGUGCUUGAGUGUGUCCUGAAGAGUUCAGAUUCAGGCCAGAAGACCAUAGGGAAGACAUCAGAACCAACUCCAGGACUCUCACGCCAGGCAAGCAGCUCUUUGAUGAUAUCCCCAACUGGGACUGGCCACCAGUGACGCAAGUUGCUAGAUCUUGGAGUUUGGGUGACUCCAGCCUCUACUGGGCCUGUGGGAAAAGCAGAUGGAGGAUGAGUACAGGAGACAGUGUGGUGGUACCUCCCCAAGGCCUCCUGAGGUCCACUGCUCUCUGUUCUGCACAGCAGAAUCCACUGGGCCUGUGAGGAAGGGGACUGAGGCUGGGGAAGAACACCGGAGGGAGCCUGAGGGUGCCUUGGAUGAGGCUUGCUUCAGAGACAUCCCACCUGUCCCGACGACUCACCUGGGAGUGCAUGGAUGCCCCCAGGCUUGACCUCUGUGUUUCUUUGCGGUGCAGUCCUGCAGACCCUGUGUGAAAUAGUGCAGUUGAGGAGCCCCCAAGAAACACAGAAUUCAGGAGACCUAGGCAAGCUAAGACACGAAGAGAAUGGUCAGGACCCACUCUCCUCCCUAAAGGCCAAUGUAAAGCUACAAUCCAAAGACACUGAACUCUGAGCCUGAUGAUUCAACGUGCUGGGAAUAAAGAGACCAAAAGGAGAAAACAUCGUCUUCCAGUGUCAGUGUGGAGAGGAAAUCCAGUGAGGAGUUGUGAUCUUAAACCAAGGACACUUCAGGUCAAGAGAAGGAGAGUAGAUGAGUGAGGAAGCUUCCAGACCAUGGUCCACGGGAUCUGAACGGAUGGGAGUGGACAGAAACAAGUUUGCUUCCUGCAGGAUUCAGAGAAGGUGUCUGUGCGGAUGUGGAGCUUUGAUCAGGGCUGGAAUUUAUGCUGUAGAUUUGAGUUUAAAUAAGAAAAUUAGAGAAUAGACAAGAUGGAAGAUAGAAUAACAGAACUGGUUUGACGUAUUUCUCAAAUCCAUUCCCCAAAACCUGGGUUGUCUACUGUGCUCUCCAGCUGCCUCCUGCCCUGGGACCCUUGCCUGGAAGUUACCUCUAUGAUUCCCCCAAACCCAGUGCUGCUUGACCUUGGGUGUCAGCAACUUAUGACAGAAGGGACCCCUUGGUUCCUGAGAAAGAGAGGCUUGGAGACCACCAGACAUAAAGUGUCAGAAGAGCUUGGCUCCUCACAGGACACUGUGUGGCCCAUUGCAGGGAAAUGUUCACCCGAGCCCUCCGUGGCCCCCACAGCUUCCUGGCAGACCCCGAAGGUUCCUGCACAGGAAAGCGGCGACUCUGCAAGGCUGUGUCUUGGCUGCUGGCGCAGAAAUACAGGGCUGAGUCUUCUGGCUGCAGGGCACGUACGUGAAGGUAUAAGUGAGAGCUGUCUGGGCAUUCAGGAUUCCUCUCAAGGACAGACCACUCGCAUUCAAGGAAUCUCCUUCUCCCCUGUGGGAUCACACAAGACAGCGCCACUCAAAAUGUCCCUUCCUUCAAUGUCUAAGCACGGUAGAGCCCUUUUUGCCCGGUUCUGUGGAGGCAGGAUGACUGCAUGACCACGGAUGCAGUGUGGACCAGUGCCCAUCAUUCAAGGAUCCUAAAUUGUGUAUGCAGAGGGUGGCAGACCCGAAGGCUGAGCAGAGAACAAGUUCUGGAAGGCUGAAGACAUGGGCAGAGAUUUCAGAAGAGCCAGAGCAUUCAGACCCAGUUACAGUGGAGUGAUGUGGUGAAUACACUGUGAUUCCCACUAAGACCCUGGGAAGGCCAUGCACUAGCAAUGAUGACCACGUGCUGGGGCUCCCUAAGAGGGAGGGCGAAGCUGAAAUAGACCGUAGCAAGUCCUACAUUUAACCCUCCCAGAAUAAAACCCAACACUUUCCAAGAGACAACGUAAUCCAGAGCCUCAAGUGUAUAUCGUCCACAAUGCUUUACAUAAACCCUUUCUUUCAUGGAGGAUAUUUAGAAGUCUCCUAAUCCUUCAGACCACCCCAAAAUCUAUCUCCUUUCUGAUCCAUACUACUUUCAGUGUUCCUGUACCAAAAUAUCAGUUUCAUCAUGUUGUUUCACUUGGAGUAGGACCAGUGGCUUACCACUACCUAGGAUUUGUUUCCAAAGUCCUUUCAUGUCUCCCAAUAUCCCCUGUCAUCAAGCUAUCACUUGCUGUUGAGGAGAGUUCAAGAAGACUUUCAUCAGAAUUGGGAGAGACUUUUGCUGGUCACCCUUCUUGAAGAAAAGGAGUCUACAAGGCACAAGGCUGCCUCCACUGGCUUCUCCUCAACACUUUUCAGUUUACCUAUUGCCAUGGAAUUUCAUGCCUCUCCAAAUAUUUCUCUGUUAAAUAAAGUACUCACUGA